AUCUGGGGAUUUUUUUCGCUAGCUAAAGCUAAAAUCUCUUUUUUUCCAGGUCACAACGUUUUGUGUCCUUGGAUUCCUGUCUGAAGAAGGAUCCUUCAGAGAGAGGGAGUGCUGAAGAACUCCUGCAGCACCCAUUCAUCACCCAACUGACACCUAAGAAGAUCAUCAGGGCUGAGAUUGGAGAACAUCUCCGGACUCUGCAGAACCGGCCGGCCAAAAAAAGGACUGAAGGGAGUAGCUCUCUGGACCCUGAAGCUGCGGCGUGCUUGUGACUUCUGCACACAGACAUCGGCAGAACAAGAAGCAGCUCUGCAAGUGGCCCUGGAGGGCUUCUCCUGUUAUUGAUCUUGUGGCCAAUAACAUCAACAGCCCAGAAUGAGUUUCCUGAAUCACAGCCUAGGAAAAAGAAACAUCCACAGGAUCCAGUGGCGUCUGCAGCUCCACCAGCAACAUCUCCUUUCAAGCUGAUGCAAGUAGUAACAUCAAGAUUCCUGCAACUACACCAGCAGAGACUUUAUCUCCAUGAUCAUAUUCUUUUCAGACUACCACAUCUCCACCAGUGGUGUAUUUGCUCCAGUUUACAUCACUCCACCCACACACAUUUCCAACUGCCAUAGUCCAUCUUCCUUUUUUUGUAGACUACGACAACUCCAACAUCUUGCCUUAAACAUCUACAAUUCCCAGAACCAUAGCAACAACAUUCCUAUCCACCUCUACAGCUCGACUAGCAGCAUUCACUUAUCAAACACCAUAGCUCCACUAUUAGGACUUUAGUUUGCAUUAGUAUCCAAUUAUCACAUCUCCACCCAAGGACUUUCCAUUUAACUUUAGCUCCACCACCAGCCCUUAUCCCAUAUUUUAGCUCUACCCGCAAGCUCUGUCCUUUUGCUAACACACCUCCACCAAUAUCUUCUUUUAUCUAGCUAUCAUCAAGAGUUUCUCCUCUUUAAAAUAUCUUUUAGUCCUUGCCCUUCUUCCUGCACCUCCAUUGGUUCUUCCAUUCCACCAAUACCAAGACAUUUAGUCACACCACACAGCACACACUAAAAUGAUGCCCCCUACACAGAGGCUUCUCUUCUCCACUUUUUUCUUUUGCCCCUCUAACACCAAUUCCCCAGUGGUUUCUCCUGUUCAAAUUCUUUCCUUUCUAAAUUCUAUCCUUUCAAGCCUUCCACUCAACAACCAGUCACAUCUCCUACUCUAAACCCUGACAUAAACUCUUAGUACUGAUACUGACAUAAACUCAUAGUACAAGUUGAUCCAGGGACUUGUCCGAUUGCCCAUUGGGAGUCAGGAAGGAAUUUUUCCCCCUCUGAGGCAAAUUGGCUCUGGCUUCAGAUGGGGUUUUUGCCUUCCUCUGGAUCAACUACUAAAUAGGAAAAUCCCUUUUACACUAAAACUUGAACCUAAUGGAUGUGAGUCAUUCCCAAAUUAAAUUAGUAUGAAUUAAUCUAAAAUGCAUAAAUAUAACAUCCAAUUUAUAAAUAAAUAUGUUAAUACA